GACGUAGGAUGCAAGCGUUGUCCGGAAUUAUUGGGCGUAAAGAGUUCGUAGGCGGCAAAUCAAGUCUGAUGUUAAAGGCAGUAGCUUAACUACUGUAGGGCAUUGGAUACUGAUUAGCUAGAGUGCAGAAGAGGCAAGGGGAAUUCCCAGUGUAGCGGUGAAAUGCGUAGAUAUUGGGAGGAACACCAGUGGCGUAAGCGCCUUGCUGGGCUGUUACUGACGCUGAGGAACGAAAGCCAGGGGAG
rnacentral:rRNA from 1 species